CCUCGUCCUAUGUGGCCAGCACAUCAUAGUGGGGACUCAUAGGAGACUGCCGGGGUCAACGCGGAGGAAGGUGGGGAUGGACGUCAAGAUCAUCAUGCCCCUUAUGUCUUGGGCUUCACGCAUGCUGCAAUGGCCAGUACAAAGGGCUGCGACACCGCAAGGUGGAGCGAAUCCCAAAAAACUGGUCUCAGUUCGGAUUGGGGUCUGCAACUCGACCCCAUGAAAUCGGAGUCGCUAGUAAUCGCAGAUCAGCAACGCUGCGGUGAAUACGUUCCCGGGCCUUGUACACACCGCCCGUCAUAGUCACGAAAGUCGGUAAGCGACCCGAAGCCGGUGGCCCAACCCUUGUGGAGGGAGCCGUCGAAGGUGGGACUGGCGAUUGGGACUAAGUCGUAACAAGGUAGCCGUACCGGAAAGUGC
rnacentral:rRNA from 1 species